rnacentral:lncRNA from 1 species
GGCCCAGCGCUGCCUCCUCAGCCACCAGCAGUGUGGCUGCUACGCAGGUGAGGAAGAUGAGGGUGAGCAGGCCAAAGAGGCACUCCUCCUGGGUGCCCAGGCAGCCCCCAAGACUGAUCAUGAAGGCAUAGACAGAGUAGGCCUGGCGACAGUGGUCCGGGUCCCGGAAGAGGUCAGAGAGCAGGGCCUCCAGUGGAGUG